UGUAGGAGCUGGCUUGCCUGCGAUGCAGACGCCGCGGUGCUCCAGAAACACCGCGGCGAUGCCGUCGCAGGCAAGCCAGCUCCCACA
rnacentral:misc_RNA from 1 species